rnacentral:rRNA from 1 species
UACGGGGGGGGCAAGCGUUGUUCGGAAUUACUGGGCGUAAAGGGCUCGUAGGCGGCCAACUAAGUCAAACGUGAAAUCCCUCGGCUUAACCGGGGAACUGCGCUUGAUACUGGAUGGCUUGAGAUUGGGAGAGGGAUGCGGAAUUCCAGGUGUAGCGGUGAAAUGCGUAGAUAUCUGGAGGAACACCGGUUGCGAAGGCGGCAUCCUGGACCAACACUGACGCUGAGGAGCGAAAGCCAGGGGAGCAAACGGG